AAAGCUGUGAGUUUUCAAAUCUCCAACCAACUUUCAACAUGUUCACAUUAUAAAAGGAUCAAGAACCGGAGAUAACUGCGUUUAGGUUUCUCGAAGGUCUGCACGUCGACCUUGUUGCGGAUCACAUCUUCACUGCAGUUCCAGGUGAUACCGUCAACUUUCCUUAUGUCAUCAGUUUUUCUUUUCAGACUUUCUUCGUUUCCUUUCCGUUGACUUACUUUACCAUCUUCUCUCAUUGCCUUGACCAAAUCGUCAUUAUUAGUAGUCGACUUUUGCAAUUCAAACCCUUCUUUUCCUAACAUUAUGUUCAUCCCUCUGUAAAGUUGAAUCCCCUGAUCGUUAGUUCCGCAACCCAUCAUGAGAUCGUCCACAUAAAAAUCUGACAAUAUCUUUUCAGCCGCCGUUGGAGAAACUUCACCGUGAUCCAAAUUCAUGCUAACAUAUUCAUUAGAAACCUCUAUGUAUUUCUGUUUCAGGUCACCGUUCUUCAGUCUUCGUUCUAAUGAAUACAUUCUUUUUUCAGGUAUCUGCACAGAAUUCUUCACAUCGGGAUCUUCGUUCUUCACCGGAAGACGACGCAUAAUGUAUCGACCAGUGUCAUCUCUACGAGUAGUUCUGAGGGCUUCAUAGGCGUGUGAACAACGCCAGACAGAAUCCACCCCAAUGACGAACACUGAGCAAGUGGUGAACCAAGCGGUCCCUUGAUGACUCCGUUUUGAAUAACCCGGCUAUAUACUUCUGACCCCAACAACAAAUCUACACUGUUAGAAGUAUAAUAGCUCGGAUCCGCGAGGACAAGAUCCUGAAGUUCCUUCCAUUCCUCCGCUCUUAUUUUCCGGUUAGGUAAAAGCGUUGUGAUGGACCCUAGUACGU